GAUGAACGCUAGCUACAGGCUUAACACAUGCAAGUCGAGGGGCAGCAUGGUCUUAGCUUGCUCAGGCCGAUGGCGACCGGCGCACGGGUGAGUAACACGUAUCCAACCUGCCGUCUACUCUUGGACAGCCUUCUGAAAGGAAGAUUAAUACAAGAUGGCAUCAUGAGUUCACAUGUUCACAUGAUUAAAGGUAUUCCGGUAGACGAUGGGGAUGCGUUCCAUUAGAUAGUAGGCGGGGUAACGGCCCACCUAGUCUUCGAUGGAUAGGGGUUCUGAGAGGAAGGUCCCCCACAUUGGAGCUGAGACACGGUCCAAACUCCUACGGGAGGCAGCAGUGAGGAAUAUUGGUCAAUGGGCGAGAGCCUGAACCAGCCAAGUAGCGUGAAGGAGGACUGCCCUAUGGGUUGUAAACUUCUUUUAUAAAGGAAUAAAGUCGGGUAUGUAUACCCGUUUGCAUGUACUUGAUGAAUAAGGAUCGGCUAACUCCGUG
rnacentral:rRNA from 1 species